AGGGCUAUAGCUCAGUUCGGUAGAGCAACUCGUUUACACGGUUCGAAUCCGUAUAGCCCUA
rnacentral:tRNA from 1 species